rnacentral:rRNA from 1 species
AUACGGAGGGUGCAAGCGUUAUCCGGAAUCAUUGGGUUUAAAGGGUCCGUAGGCGGGCUAAUAAGUCAGGGGUGAAAUCCCACAGCUUAACUGUGGAACUGCCCUUGAUACUGUUGGUCUUGAGUUACAGUGAAGUGGUUAGAAUGUGUAGUGUAGCGGUGAAAUGCAUAGAGAUUACACAGAAUACCGAUUGCGAAGGCAGAUCACUAACUGUAUACUGACGCUAAUGGACGAAAGCGUGGGGAGCGAACAGGAUUAGAAACCCUUGUAGUCC